rnacentral:rRNA from 1 species
AGAGUUUGAUCCUGGCUCAGGAUGAACGCUGGCGGUAUGCUUAACACAUGCAAGUCGAACGGUGUCUUCGGGCACAGUGGCGGACGGGUGAGUAACGCGUGAGAAUCUGGCUUCAGGUCUGGGACAACCACUGGAAACGGUGGCUAAUACCGGAUGUGCCCUUAGGGGUGAAAGAUUAAUUGCCUGAAGAUGAGCUCGCGUCUGAUUAGCUAGUAGGUGUGGUAAAGGCGCACCUAGGCGACGAUCAGUAGCUGGUCUGAGAGGACGAUCAGCCACACUGGGACUGAGACACGGCCCAGACUCCUACGGGAGGCAGCAGUGGGGAAUUUUCCGCAAUGGGCGAAAGCCUGACGGAGCAAUACCGCGUGAGGGAGGAAGGCUCUUGGGUCGUAAACCUCUUUUCUCAGGGAAGAACACAAUGACGGUACCUGAGGAAUAAGCAUCGGCUAACUCCGUGCCAGCAGCCGCGGUAAUACGGAGGAUGCAAGCGUUAUCCGGAAUGAUUGGGCGUAAAGCGUCCGCAGGUGGCGAUGUAAGUCUGCUGUUAAAGAGUGAGGCUCAACCUCAUAAGAGCAGUGGAAACUACAUAGCUAGAGUACGUUCGGGGCAGAGGGAAUUCCUGGUGUAGCGGUGAAAUGCGUAGAGAUCAGGAAGAACACCAGUGGCGAAGGNNCUCUGCUAGGCCGUAACUGACACUGAGGGACGAAAGCUAGGGGAGCGAAUGGGAUUAGAUACCCUAGUAGUCC